AGGAAUCGAGGAAAUUUUUCAGAGGUACUGUUAAAAUCAAUUUAAGGGUUAAUUAUUAAAACUUUCGUUUACUUAAUUUUGAGAUUUUUCGUGUUAUGUUAGGGCUGAUUCUAUCUUAUCGUAACUGGAUGUAGGUGAUGAGUUGUUUUUUUCCCCCCGGCAAAUGUUGUUGAUUGCUGAGAAAUCGAUUAAAUACGAAUGAAAAUGAAAUUGUUGUCUUGAGCUCUGUUUUUCUUUCAUUGCGAUAUUGAUGGUGCUAAGAUUCGAUUUUUUUUUUUUUUAACUUUGAUUCCAAGCAUGGAAUGAUCGAUCUCUGGUUUAUUUUUCAUGGUCAGUUUGUUAUGGUUCUAUUAGUUAUUUUGAUUAUAGCCUGAUUGUUUCCAUUGCGUUUGUUAUUUAAGUUUGUGAUUGUCUACUGCUGGGUGGCUGAGAAAAUUGGGGAAAGGAAA
rnacentral:misc_RNA from 1 species